UACAGAGGUGGCAAGCGUUGUUCGGAAUUACUGGGCGUAAAGGGCGCGUAGGCGGCCUUGUAAGUCCUGUGUGAAAUCCCCCCGGCUCAACUGGGGAACUGCACAGGAGACUGCUUGGCUUGAGUUCGGGAGAGGGAAGCGGAAUUCCGGGUGUAGCGGUGAAAUGCGUAGAUAUCCGGAGGAACACCGGUGGCGAAGGCGGCUUCCUGGACCGACACUGACGCUGAGGCGCGAAAGCCAGGGGAGCAAACGGG
rnacentral:rRNA from 1 species